CUUCUCUUCUCUUUUCUUCAGCCACCUCCAUCCCUAAUUUUCUCUCUAAGUCUCUACCUCCGAAUGCAAAAGGAACUCAAGCUCCUCUUCUUCUAAGUUUGGUCCAUAAUAUUGGCCUUCAUUCACUUUGCUUAUUCUGUGCAUGCUUCGUUCUUGGCAAUAGAGAGUGGGUCCAGCUCCAGAAAUCGGCAAUGUCUCACCUAUUGGGUUCUUUUUUCUUUGAUUAAAGUCUUGGAGUCUUCGUUUGUAAAUCUUUUUGAAUGGUACCCAUUUCAGCCUCCAAGUGUGACGUUUGUGACACCCAUCUACCACCCUAUUAUUGACAACAGAGGCCGAAUUUGCCUUGACAUUCUUAAUCUUCCCCCCAAGGCUAGAGGGUGUAUCCUGGUUGCUUCAAGUUCGGAAAUUCUUACACGUUCAAAGAAGGUCUGGUAAUGUCAUUGAUUGGAUCUUUGCUCACAAUGCUUGUAACAUUGAUACUUCCUUGUGCUUGUUUCCUGAGCAUUGUGAGAGGGAAAAUAACCCGACUGCAGG